GGAGAGAUGGCCGAGAGGAUUAAGGCGUUCCCCUGCUAAGGGAAUAUGAAAAAAAAAUAAAUUUCAUCGAGGGUUCGAAUCCCUCUCUCUCCG
rnacentral:tRNA from 1 species